GCCUUCGUGGUGUAAUGGUCUGCACGAUGGGCUAAUAUUCCAGAGGUCCGUGGUUCGAUUCCCGGCGAAGGCG
rnacentral:tRNA from 1 species